rnacentral:rRNA from 1 species
UACGUAGGGUGCGAGCGUUAAUCGGAAUUACUGGGCGUAAAGCGUGCGCAGGCGGUUUUUUAAGACAGAUGUGAAAUCCCCGGGCUCAACCCCGGACCUGCCUUUGUGACUGCAUAGCUAGAGUACGGUAGAGGGGGAUGGAAUUCCGCGUGUAGCAGUGAAAUGCGUAGAUAUGCGGAGGAACACCGAUGGCGAAGGCAGUCCCCUGGACCUGUACUGACGCUGAGGCACGAAAGCGUGGGGAGCAAACAGG